CACGUAGGGCGCAAGCGUUGUCCGGAAUUAUUGGGCGUAAAGAGCGUGUAGGCGGCUAGGUAGGUCCGUUGUGAAAACUCGAGGCUCAACCUCGAGACGCCGAUGGAAACCAUCUGGCUAGAGUCCGGAAGAGGAGAGUGGAAUUCCUGGUGUAGCGGUGAAAUGCGCAGAUAUCAGGAGGAACACCCGGUGGCGAAGGCGGAUCUCUCGGUCGGAACU
rnacentral:rRNA from 1 species